GGAAAUUGGUAGUGUGGCAGUAAACAAUGUCUAGUCCUAAAAAAACAGGCAUGUCAGGAGGGGUGAAAGAUGCAACAGUACAUUUUACAGUCUGCACCUUUCCUGACUCUUCUUUUAAAGACGCUGGGUCCUACACAGUCUGUAUCUUUCCCCUUUCUUUCUUUUUAUGAUGCUGGGUCCUUGCAAUUCUAUGAAAACAGCAAAGAUGCCCCCAAGGAAUGAAAAAAUUUCUGUGCCAUGUCAAUAUCAAUGACACCAAAUUGUGGUGAGCUGAGUUUAUACACCAUUCUGGUCCUCUUGUCUGAAUCUGAAAAUUGGCCACAGAAUACAAUGGGUUAGAGAUGGAGAGAGAGAGAUAAAGGAAGAUCCAAUUGGUAAAAUUCAUGGACCGCCAGAGAUGUAUUGAGGCCACAACCAAGAGCAAGUUAAUCUGACCAAUUCUCAAAUCCCUAGAGAAUUCUGUUCCUCCAGGUCUCCCCAACUGUAAUCCAUUGCGGUGGGAAAGGGAAGGGGAAUGCAACAGUGAGUGAUGGUGUAGGAAAUGGAAAACAAAAACAAAAAAAAAAUAGUGUGUCGGAUGGAAAAGAGGGGAAUCAGACAGUGGGAGUAGAAGACAGGCUGUGAAUGUCAUUUUUCUGAUACCUUAAAAACACAAAAUGUUUUGAAAGGGGAUUGGACAGAGUACUGCGCAUUGGAUGGCAGAAAGUGAGGCCUCACAGUUAUUGGAAAUUAAUUGUUUGUCU